rnacentral:rRNA from 1 species
GCCUAUACAUGCAAGUCGAGCGAGCGGAACUAACAGAUUUACUUCGGUAAUGACGUUAGGAAAGCGAGCGGCGGAUGGGUGAGUAACACGUGGGGAACCUGCCCCAUAGUCUGGGAUACCACUUGGAAACAGGUGCUAAUACCGGAUAAGAAAGCAGAUCGCAUGAUCAGCUUUUAAAAGGCGGCGUAAGCUGUCGCUAUGGGAUGGCCCCGCGGUGCAUUAGCUGGUUGGUAAGGUAAAGGCUUACCAAGGCGAUGAUGCAUAGCCGAGUUGAGAGACUGAUCGGCCACAUUGGGACUGAGACACGGCCCAAACUCCUACGGGAGGCAGCAGUAGGGAAUCUUCCACAAUGGACCCAAGUCUGAUGGAGCAGCGCCGCGUGAGUGAAGAAGGUUUUCGGAUCGUAAAGCUCUGUUGUGGGUGAAGAAGGAUAGAGUG